rnacentral:rRNA from 1 species
GUGACCGCUGGCGGUAGGCCUAACACAUGCAAGUCGAACGGCAGCACAGUAAGAGCUUGCUCUUACGGGUGGCGAGUGGCGGACGGGUGAGGAAUACAUCGGAAUCUACUUUUUCGUGGGGGAUAACGUAGGGAAACUUACGCUAAUACCGCAUACGACCUACGGGUGAAAGCAGGGGAUCUUCGGACCUUGCGCGAUUGAAUGAGCCGAUGUCGGAUUAGCUAGUUGGCGGGGUAAAGGCCCACCAAGGCGACGAUCCGUAGCUGGUCUGAGAGGAUGAUCAGCCACACUGGAACUGAGACACGGUCCAGACUCCUACGGGAGGCAGCAGUGGGGAAUAUUGGACAAUGGGCGCAAGCCUGAUCCAGCCAUACCGCGUGGGUGAAGAAGGCCUUCGGGUUGUAAAGCCCUUUUGUUGGGAAAGAAAAGCAGCAGGUUAAUACCCCGCUGUUCUGACGGUACCCAAAGAAUAAGCACCGGCUAACUUCGUG